ACUCCUACGGGAGGCAGCAGUGGGGAAUAUUGCACAAUGGGCGCAAGCCUGAUGCAGCCAUGCCGCGUGUGUGAAGAAGGCCUUCGGGUUGUAAAGCACUUUCAGUCGUGAGGAAGGCGGNUACGUUAAUAGCGGCAUCAUUUGACGUUAGCGACAGAAGAAGCACCGGCUAACUCCGUGCCAGCAGCCGCGGUAAUAC
rnacentral:rRNA from 1 species